GAAAGAUCAACCUGAUUGCAAGCAUCCUUUCUUACAUCUAUAUGGUGGGACAACCUCCUAAAUCUUGUCAAUUUGGAGUUCAUGCGUAAACAAGUGUUAAGCUGAUAUCAAAAUUCAUUGGUCAACUGGACACAUACACUGAUGAAGGUUUUCCGUCACAAAGGAGGAUGUGCAGGACAGAAAAUCUGCACCAUAAUGGCACUGACAGCUAAAAUUUUAAUUUGGACCCCACUGUAUCUGGCACAUCAGCAUCAGUACUACAUUCUGCUACUCACUUAUAGUCAUCUGGCAGUUCCAUAAGACCCUGAAUAACAUGAGGUAACUCUAUUUUCACAAUGAACAGGUACGUGGACAUUGCUGUUGGAUCAAAGAAAGAACACAAUUAGUGUUGUGAUCAGCACUCAUAUUGCUUUAUGUGGUUAUCACUGAUGUUAAUUUAUCACAUGACCGUAUGACGUCUUAUGACUUCAUGAGUAUAACUAAAUACUGAAAAGCAAUGAUGGCUGAAAUGAAAGCAAUAAUGCAUUUCAUUUUACCUCCAAUGUUGUGCAAUGUUAUAACGCAUCCUGCUAAGAUUUUCCCAGGUGUACCAAAUGCAUGGUUCCCGAGCUGUUCAUAUGCACGGAUCCCUAAACACACAAACAAACGUAAUGGAAAGGUGAGAUGCUUUUUUCAUGGGUUUACCAUUUACCAUUCCUGAAACCAUUUACAUGGUUUCAGGAUUGCCUUUGCAGACAUUAGAGAGAAGACGUUUCUCACCAACUACUUCAGCACUCCUCAGAAGCAGGUGGAUUGAGUACGCAGAGAGAAGAGCGAUGCUUAUCAACAGGAUU